rnacentral:rRNA from 1 species
AUUGAACGCUGGCGGCAGGCCUAACACAUGCAAGUCGAACGAGUGGCGGACGGGUGAGUAAUGUCUGGGAAACUGCCCGAUGGAGGGGGAUAACUACUGGAAACGGUAGCUAAUACAGCAUACCAUCGGAUGUGCCCAGGUGGGAUUAGCUAGUAGGUGGGGUAACGGUUCACCUAGGCGACGAUCCCUAGCUGGUCUGAGAGGAUGACAAGCCACACUGGAGCGUAGACACGGUCCAGAAUCCGACGUGCAGCAGCAGGAGGGAAUAUUGCACAAUGGGCGCAAGCCGGAGGCAGCCUUGCCGCGUGUAUGAAGAAGGCCGUCGGGUUGUAAAGUACUUUCAGCGAGGAGGCGUUGCUCGCAGAAGAAGCAGCGGCUAACUCCGUGCCAGCAGCCGCGGUAAUUC